CUUGACAUCCAGCGAACUUUCCAGAGAUGGAUUGGUGCCUUCGGGAACGCUGAGACAGGUGCUGCAUGGCUGUCGUCAGCUCGUGUUGUGAAAUGUUGGGUUAAGUCCCGNAACGAGCGCAACCCUUAUCCUUUGUUGCCAGCGAUUCGGUCGGGAACUCAAAGGAGACUGCCGGUGAUAAACCGGAGGAAGGUGGGGAUGACGUCAAGUCAUCAUGGCCCUUACGAGUAGGGCUACACACGCGCUACAAUGGCGCAUACAAAGAGAAGCGACCUCGCGAGAGCAAGCGGACCUCAUAAAGUGCGUCGUAGUCCGGAUCGGAGUCUGCAACUCGACUCCGUGAAGUCGGAAUCGCUAGUAAUCGUGGAUCAGAAUGCCACGGUGAAUACGUUCCCGGGCCUUGUACACACCGCCCGUCACACCAUGGGAGUGGGUUGCAAAAGAAGUAGGUAGCUUAACCUUCGGGAGGGCGCUUACCACUUUGUGAUUCAUGACUGGGGUGAAGUCGUAACAAGGUAAGCGUAGCGAG
rnacentral:rRNA from 1 species